GCGACGCGCUCAAGUUUGAAAACUCGCCAGUCGGCCGCUUCCGGGUGAGAAGCCAGAGGCGCCGCGGCCAGGAGGGGCCUGUGCGGUGCGGACUGGCGCCGGACGCCCGGGCAGGAGUGAAGGACUCAAAGAUGAAGUACUAGUUUCCGAUGGUUCUUUGGACUGUUCCAAGAGGUUUGUAUGGACAAUGGAAACAUCAUCUGUGACCUGACUUUGUCUCUCUGGAGCUUUCCAAUUCAUGAU